AGCUCCUAGGCAUUCACCAUAGACUCUUAUUACUUUGACCAUAUUUUUAUCUUCCAUCUCUAUUUUGCCAAUUUGCUUAUGCAACAUAGAAUAAUAUAUAUCUUUGUUUAAUCCAUGUCAAUAUAUAUUUUAUUUUUUAUAUUAUUUAAAUAAAACAUUCAAUAACAUGAACAUCUAAAAACAUAAAAAAUAAAAUCAAUGUUUAAAGUAUAAAAUAAAAACCCUGGCAAUAACUUACUCUCC
rnacentral:misc_RNA from 1 species